CUUUACUAUGUGUUUGUGUGGUACCGCGUGUCUUGAGCCGGGGGUCUAUCGGAAAUAGCCUUUCUACUUCUUCAGAGGUAGAGGUAUGGACUGCGUACAUCCUACCCCCCCCAGACCCCACCAGGUGGGAAUACACUGGGUUUGUUGUUGUUGUUGUUGUUGUUAUGUUAAGUAAAUUGUUAUUAGCAGUGAAAUUGGUCUAGUU
rnacentral:lncRNA from 1 species